UUGAAAAAACGGUACGGUUGGUUAUGUAUGUUUAUUUUUAGACGCACUCAUACAGUAUUGGUGUUCUGGUGUAUGGUGUAUGGACACGUGGUAAUGCGCGGUUAUUAUCUGGUUUAGCGCACGGUUAUUACUUCACCCGUGAGUUGCCAUUGGACCGUGGGCAGGCAAGGUUAUUGUUGCGCACAGCCGCCCCCCUCCUUGGCCGGGUGAUGGUUUUUAGCAGUCGGUACUGUCGGGACGCCGAAGUGACCACUGCAGGUUUCUCUCUUUAACCUCCCGCCAGUCGGUGCUCGGGACGCUGGGUAUCGGAGGGCAUCACCGGUAUAUGGUGUGGUCCAGGUUGGAGACGUUGAUUGUCCGGGGCGAGCCCAACGUCUCAGUUCGUUGUCGAAGGUUCAAGAAGUUUUUCUUCCCUUUUCUCCUCUCUGUCAUGUAUUAUUUCCGUAUCUGUCAUUUUAUAAAUUCCGCAUGUAACUGUAAAAAUGCUCUGUAUACUGUAUUGGACGUGUAGUUGUUUUUAAUGCACUGGGUUGCUGUUGUUGUUUUA